UGGGCUCUUCAGCGGAUCCCCAAAGGCAGGCACUGCUCCAUCUGCAUUUCUAGAAAGGGAGGCUGCACCGGACUCUGCCACACAGAACCAUUCCAACUUUUCUUCUGUGGCAACAUGCAAGUAGGAUACUUUACACCAGAAACAUGCACCUGCUCACACACACUCGACCUGCACUGGACUCCUGGCAUUACCUGUGACCCUGGGCCAGCUUCUCAAGUUCCUGCGACUGUUCCACCACCUCCAGGCUGUUGCUGGGGACAGAUAAGCAGCUUUCACAAGCUUUGGGGUCACCAGUGAUCACAAGGCUGACGGCAAGGUGGGAACACAAGGGUGGUCCCAGAAGAGCAUGCCGUGCACCUCUAAAUUAACAACAGCACAGCAGAGAAACUUCAAAAGACAAGACUGACACUUCUGAUAGAAGCAAGAAACUAACAUGGCUGGGACAGCUGGCCAAUCAGGUGUGAGACUCGGCCAAGCUGAGACUGGACAGAGACGCAGCAGGCAAGCCAAGAGUCAGAACGUGCAGACGCGAGAGGUGCAGCCGCAGAGCCGGGGAAGGGAAAGACACUGGGAAUUUAAAGUGAGGUAGGAAGACACAAGGGUGA